GAGCCGCGGUCGCCAUCGAAACCUGCAAAGAAAGUCUAAACCGGAGUUGGGAGUGCUCCGGCAAGACUCUCCGACGCUCAAGUCAGUUCUCUGCCUCAACAAGAAUGGAGUGCUUGAACGAAAAUUUUAGCAGAAUUUUGAGAUAGAAAUUAGAGCUUAGAGAAUAACGUAUAUGGGAUCCCCUUUUUAUAGGCGGAGGGUGCAACAGACUGAUAGCGACGUCUGUAACUGUCUGGUAGUGGGCCGUUCAGGGUCAGGAGGAGUUUGUUAUGGAGAGUGAUGGAGUGGAGUCAUGGCUAUCACCGUGGGCUGCCACGUAGAAACUGUUGCGGAGAGUGGAGCAGUGUCCGUUGUCGUGACUUACCAGAGAGUGGUGGAGCCACGCAGAAUCCGUCGCAGGAAGUGGAGCAGAAUCGCGGCCGUUACUGUAGCCUGCCGCGUGGAGCCUGUUGCGGGGAGUGGUGGAGCCAC
rnacentral:lncRNA from 1 species